GUCUGAGGAGGAGACGGCGGCAGCGGCCGAUAAUGGAUGCUGAAUGAUACUGCAGUUGCAGCGCUCUCGUUGGCUAGGAGUUUGUAGCUUAAUAAAACCACAGCUACAGCUUCCAUUGGUUUAUCAUCAGGUCUAAAUGGCUGGUGUGGGUACAGAGUGAGACUGUCCAUGUUCCUCAAGGAAACUGUUCGGAAUUACAUUAGUUUCGUUCUGUUCAGUGUUGGCAUGAAAAACAAUUCUGAUUGAAAGACCUUUCCUGGUGUGCAUAAUCGGGAAAGUUUAAACUGUGCACAAAGCUGUACAAAACCGAAAAAAAAAGUAUUGGAAUUCUGUGACAGAGGCAGAACAUCAUCCUCGGAUCAAGAGACUUGAAACUGCAUACCAUACUGCAGGCGUGGUCUAAGUAAGGCACUGUGCAGUUGCAAUAAGAUAUUCCUACUCCUGAAAUUCAUCUCGUUGUAAAGUAUCUAACUGUUGAUGUACAGUCAAGGCUAAUGGGUGAUCUGAUGGGGAUGUUCAAGGUUACAAAAGUUCAAUAAGGCAACCAUCGAGAAGCCGUUCCCAUUUGUAGGACUGACCUGAAUUGGGGGGCC